UAGGGAAUCUUCCGCAAUGGGCGAAAGCCUGACGGAGCAACGCCGCGUGAGUGAUGAAGGUCUUCGGAUCGUAAAACUCUGUUAUUAGGGAAGAACAAACGUGUAAGUAACUAUGCACGUCUUGACGGUACCUAAUCAGAAAGCCACGGCUAACUACGUGCCAGCAGCCGCGGUAAUACGUAGGUGGCAAGCGUUAUCCGGAAUUAUUGGGCGUAAAGCGCGCGUAGGCGGUUUUUUAAGUCUGAUGUGAAAGCCCACGGCUCAACCGUGGAGGGUCAUUGGAAACUGGGAAACUUGAGUGCAGAAGAGGAAAGUGGAAUUCCAUGUGUAGCGGUGAAAUGCGCAGAGAUAUGGAGGAACACCAGUGGCGAAGGCGACUUUCUGGUCUGUAACUGACGCUGAUGUGCGAAAGCGUGGGGAUCAAACAGG
rnacentral:rRNA from 1 species